rfam:Glycine max cultivar Williams 82 chromosome 14, whole genome shotgun sequence.
UUCUUAUUGGAUGAUGACUACUAUGUGUCAUGUUCUGAUUGGUCAAUGUAAACAACAAUGCAUUUUAUCUUUCAUGGAGUUGACAUCCAAUUCGAGACUGGAGAUAAACUGAUGGACUAAAUUU